rnacentral:rRNA from 1 species
UACGUAGGGGGCAAGCGUUGUCCGGAUUUAUUGGGCGUAAAGAGCGUGUAGGCGGCUUUGCAAGUCCGUUGUGAAAACUCGAGGCUCAACCUCGAGACGCCGGUGGAAACUGCAAAGCUAGAGUCCGGAAGAGGAGAGUGGAAUUCCUGGUGUAGCGGUGAAAUGCGUAGAUAUCAGGAGGAACACCUGCGGUGUAGACGGCUUUCUGGACCAUAACUGACGCUGAGAUACGAAAGCGUGGGUAGCAAACAGG